rnacentral:rRNA from 1 species
UACGGAAGGCAGCAGGGGGAAUAUUGCACAAUGGGCGCAAGCCUGAUGCAGCCAUGCCGCGUGUAUGAAAAAGGCCUUCGGGUUGUAAAGUACUUUCAGUCGUGAGGAAGGUGUUAAGGUUAAUAACCUUAGCAAUUGACGUUAGCGACAGAAGAAGCACCGGCUAACUCCGUGCCAGCAGCCGCGGUAAUACGGAGGGUGCGAGCGUUAAUCGGAAUUACUGGGCGUAAAGGGCACGCAGGCGGUUAAUUAAGUUGGAUGUGAAAUCCCCGGGCUUAACCUGGGAAUGGCAUUCAAGCUGGUUAGCUAGAGUCUUGUAGAGGGGGUAGAAUUCCAUGUGUAGCGGUGAAAUGCGUAGAGAUGUGGAGGAAUACCGGUGGCGAAGGCGGCCCCUGGACAAAGACUGACGCUCAUGUGCGAAAGCGUGGGGAGCAAACGAGGGAUUAGGAUACC